AGAUGCAGUGGUGAUCGCCUUGCGACAUCUGCCACCCCACUAAUUAUCAAAGUUGAUUUUGCCACCUGGCUGGCGAAGCUGUGUCUCCUUCCACUCUAUGUGCAUCUGUCCAGAAGCAGUGCACCCUGAUUGGUCAAUAGAACAGCACAACCAAGCCCAACAAAGGAGGAUCCUUCCUCAGUCAAGGGUAUAGGAGUAGCUGCGUUCCCUGAUAGAACCUCCGAAGAAGCUCUCGAGGUCCAAAAAUCAAUAAGUGAAUAGGCAUCUCAUGUAUUUUUAU
rnacentral:snRNA from 1 species